rnacentral:lncRNA from 1 species
AAGUACAAAAGUAAGUAUGUUUUUAUCAUCUCCACAGGGACUGAUGCGAUAUCGAUGCCGUUCAACAAUUAAUAUAAUUUCAAGUAAAUGAUUUCAAAGAUUGUUGAUUACGAAAGUUGCGAAAACAUGAAAGUAGUAAAGAUGAUUAAUUUGACAGAGAGAUUAAAUUGCUGGGAUUAGCUUUCAAUCACUCAUUCAUACAUAUUCCCCUAAUCAGUUACACAGGUUCUAGUCAUCUAUCAAUAUUAUCACGUAUCGCUCGUCGAAAGAGAUAUCUAUUGUAUCUAUUAACCUCCGAUGUCUCAGAUCGUCAAUCAAUACAAUAGCAUUGAGAUUCGAUACUCUGAGUGAAUAUUAAACUUAAAUCUAUGUCUAGAAUUUAGAGUUCAAUAGAUAUUANNN